CAAUAGCGUAUAUUAAAGUUGUUGCAGUUAAAAAGCUCGUAGUUGGAUUUCUGGCAGAGAGACUAUGCCCGCACGUAGCGUGUGCAGAGGCUCUCUACCAUCCUUCUGUUAACCCUUCUAGUCAUUGACUUGACUGUUGGGAGCCCAGAUAUUUUACCUUGAGAAAAUUAGAGUGUUUCAGGCAGGCUAGCGCGUGGAUACAUUAGCAUGGAAUAAUGGAAUAGGACUUUUACCUCUUCUGUUGGUCUGAGGGGGUUAAAGUAAUGAUUAAUAGGGAUAGUUGGGGGCAUUAGUACUUAACUGUCAGAGGUGAAAUUCUUGGAUUUGUUAAAGACUAACUUAUGCGAAAGCAUUUGCCAAAGAUGUUUUCAUUAAUCAAGAACGAAAGUUAGGGGAUCAAAGACGAUUAGAUACCAU
rnacentral:rRNA from 1 species